rnacentral:rRNA from 1 species
CCCGGAUGUUAGCGGCGGACGGGUGAGUAACACGUGGGUAACCUGCCUGUAAGACUGGGAUAACUCCGGGAAACCGGAGCUAAUACCGGAUAGUUCCUUGAACCGCAUGGUUCAAGGAUGAAAGACGGUUUCGGCUGUCACUUACAGAUGGACCCGCGGCGCAUUAGCUAGUUGGUGAGGUAACGGCUCACCAAGGCGACGAUGCGUAGCCGACCUGAGAGGGUGAUCGGCCACACUGGGACUGAGACACGGCCCAGACUCCUACGGGAGGCAGCAGUAGGGAAUCUUCCGCAAUGGACGAAAGUCUGACGGAGCAACGCCGCGUGAGUGAUGAAGGUUUUCGGAUCGUAAAGCUCUGUUGUUAGGGAAGAACAAGUGCAAGAGUAACUGCUUGCACCUUGACGGUACCUAACCAGAAAGCCACGGCUAACUACGUGCCAGCAGCCGCGGUAAUACGUAGGUGGCAAGCGUUGUCCGGAAUUAUUGGGCGUAAAGGGCUCGCAGGCGGUUUCUUAAGUCUGAUGUGAAAGCCCCCGGCUCAACCGGGGAGGGUCAUUGGAAACUGGGAAACUUGAGUGCAGAAGAGGAGAGUGGAAUUCCACGUGUAGCGGUGAAAUGCGUAGAGAUGUGGAGGAACACCAGUGGCGAAGGCGACUCUCUGGUCUGUAACUGACGCUGAGGAGCGAAAGCGUGGGGAGCGAACAGGAUUAGAUACCCUGGUAGUCCACGCCGUAAACGAUGAGU